rnacentral:RNase_P_RNA from 1 species
UAAAGUAGUCGGAUAAUCGCACUUUUAAAAAAGUAGAUUAAAGUUUGAGGAUUUAUCUUUGGCUAAGUUUGCUUAGAAUAAAAAGUGAGGAAAGUCCGUGCAUACAAGGACAGAUCGCCGGAGAAACUCCGGACAGCGUGAGCUGGUGGAAAGUGGGACAGAAAUGAUGUCUGCCGAUGGAUUUUUAAUCACAGGCGAUGGUGCAACGGUGAGGUAAGAGCAUCACCAGCGAUAUCGAGAGGUAUCGGCUACCUAAACCCCGAUCGUAUGCAAGAUUAAAUCAAGCGUUUGAGGUGUCCGCCGAGCUUGGAAAAAUCGCUAGAGAUUAGGAGCAAUCCUAAUACCAGAUAGAUGAUUAUCAAGUAGCAUUUUGCGAAAAAACAGAACACGGCUUAUGAGCUACUUUAUUCU